rnacentral:lncRNA from 1 species
GAUGAGUUUGUCUUUCUUUCUUUAUUUAUUAUGCAUACAGUGUUCUGCCUGCAAAUGUGCCUGCCAGAGGAGGGCACCAGAUCUCAUUGUAGAUGCUCAUGAGCCACCAUAUGGUUGCUGGAAAUUGAAUUUAGGACCUCAAGAAGAGCAGCUAGUUAUCUUAACCUCUGAGCCAUCUCUCCAACCCCAAGUUUGAAUUCUAGGUUCAGGGUAAGAACCUUUCUCCAAAAAAUAAGGUGAAGAAAUACUGAAGAAUGUACCUGGCAUUGAUUCCAUCCUCUACACACAAAUGAACAUGUAUUCAUGCACACACAGACAUGUGUGCACAUAGAAGAUUGUUAUUUCUGUGGGAAACAUGCUACCUUCAUUGUUGUUACAGUGUAUUCUGGGCAACAUGGCGGAAGGGUCAGCUGGGCUCCCUCUGGUUCCCAGCACUGUCAUCACCACCCACAUCUGAGCUCUCGUCACCCUCUCGUGAGCUUCCCUCUCAUUUUCUCUUUCUUUCCUAGAAGCCAGAAUAAGCUCUCUAAAAAGCUCCUCACCUGGUUAAGCCUAUAAGCUGCUCUGAUCCUUCACUGGCUUCCUCUGUUUACCUAGAAGUGUAUCCCCUACAUCUGUAGUAGAAGACCCACAUGGCUUCUGCGGGGUCUGGAUCCUGCCCCUCUAACCUUCCUGUAUUCGCUGUACUUUUUCAGGAGCACGCCAGACCCUCUGUCUGGGGCCAUGCUCUUUCUAGCUUCCAGUGUGCAUAUCCCAUCACGGACUUACCUCAGUGAGACCCACUAGCUCAAAUAAGCUGUGUCAAGCUGUAUGUAAGAGGAGCCCAACUUUGUGACUCCUGUGCACAGUUCUUUUACUUUCCUUGUUUAUAAGAUGGGAGUAAUAAUAAUAAAAGUACCUCCUAUGUGGGAUUCUGAAACACUUGGGGUUCUGCCCCAUACAUAGCAUGUUUGAUAAAUGUAUGUGUUUUGUUAAAUAGUAAUUCUCACAGUUAUUUCAAAAUCCAUCUUCUCCACCCCAAAUAUCUGUAUGAGUACUGGCUAAGUGUUUUCUUCUGCAACUUGAAUAUGGACUUAGGUGACAGGGCUGUAUUUAUUUAAUUAGCAUUCAGAAGUCACAGGCCUCAUCAGAUAACAUGGCAGACAUUCAUAUAAACCUGUGAGCCAUGGUAACUAGGUCUGACAGUAGAAAGACGUCUACUACUCAUGGUGAAGUAAAAUAAGGAAUUGUAGAUUUUUUGAAAAUAUUUUCUGUCUGUCUGUUCAAUAUGUGUGGGUGGAAGAAGUCUAUAUGGGCUAUUUAACAAGACAUGGCCGCAUUUCAUGCUGAGGCUGUGCUGUGUAUGCUGAAUGGACGCAUGCAGGAAGUGCAUGUGGUCUUUCUUUGGCAUUUUCCCUGCAGAAAGUGAGCAUUCUGUAAUCUUUCACUUGUUUUCAUUCUCAGUAAGUACUGCCCAGCUGGCUGUCUUUUGCCUUUUGCUGAAAUAUCUGGAACAAUUCCUCAUGGAUACAGAGAUGUAAGUUGAAUACAGACGGACUUCGCUGCUGUGGAUACUGUUAUUUUAAACUCAGAAACGCUUAGGAUGCCACCUGGUUGUCCCAAGAUGAAUAUGACUUCUGUGUCUCUGUUUUUUCAUAUAUGUCUGACAUCUUUAUAGUAAAACUAACUCAUGCUAAGAAUGUGUUUUGUUACAGUAACCUAUGUUUCUGAGAUCAGAAUAUGUUUUGAGAAAGAAUAAGUAUCUUGCUUAUGAAUAAUCUGGAAAAGUUUUCAUUUUGUUAUUUUGUUUGUUGUUUGCUUUUUCAAGUCUUCACCAUUGUGUAUGGCUGGAAUCCAUGCAGGAGUAGUGUCAAACGUGCUGGGUGGCCAAAUCAGCAUUGUGAUUAGCAAAGGGACCCCAUAUUAUGAAAGCUCUUUGGCCAACAAUGUCACUUCCACGGUGUAAGUGCAAAUACUCUUUGUAGUAAGCAUGCUGCUUUCUUUUAUGUAAUUAUCUGUACAUCCUUUCAUUCUUUUCUGUGUUCUGCCCUCUAGAGAGAGUUUGGGGUAUGUGCCAUUUUCUUUCAUAUGUAAAAAAGUAUAUAUUUUUCAGCAUUUUAAGAGUUGACAGUAGGUUAUGUGCCAAUAUUGUACCAUCUUAUAUAAAAUAUGUGGACAUUUGCUGAUUUCAUAUCUGUCAGGGAAUAUGGGAAGUCCUGGGACUGGGACCCAUAGAUAUCAAGGAACAGCUGCAUGAGUGUGUAGGUUUCUGGUGGAAUCCAAGAUGGGUGUGGCGGUGCGUGCUUGCAAUCCCCAUGCCUAGGCCAUAGAAGCAAGAGGAUGGGGGGAGUUCACAGUCGAGUUAAGCUAAUUAGUGAUUUCAAUGUCAGGGAAGGCUGUGAGAGAUACUGCCUCAAACAAAAUUAAAAAAUACUUUGCAUCUCUCUUCUGACUGUUUGAACAUCAUGUUAAGGGCAGGGCGUAACUGAACACCCUCCAGGUCUCCUGGAGUCUUAAGUGUUCUUGGGUCCCCAGGCAAGGGAGUUCUUCUCUUGUCUGACCCUUCCUCCUUCUCAGCUCACUCACAGACAGGCUCAUUUUCUCCAAGGGAAAUGCAGUAGCCAGCUCUGGUGUGUUUACCAGGAGACUUGAGUCUCACCUCGUUCUCUGAAAACACACGUCUUCAUGUUCUUUCACAGCAGG